rnacentral:tRNA from 1 species
GCGCCUGUAGCUCAGUUGGAUAGAGUACUCGGCUACGAACCGAGCGGUCGCACGUUCGAAUCGUGCCAGGCGCACCA